GUGAGGAAUUUUCCGCAAUGGGCGAAAGCCUGACGGAGCAAUGCCGCGUGAAGGAUGAAGGCCUAUGGGUUGUAAACUUCUUUUCUCAGAAAAGAAUUAUGACGGUAUCUGAGGAAUAAGCAUCGGCUAACUCUGUGCCAGCAGCCGCGGUAAGACAGAGGAUGCAAGCGCUAUCCGGAAUGAUUGGGCGUAAAGUGUCUGUAGGUUGUUUAAAAAGUAUUCUGUCAAAGAUUAGGGCUUAACCCUAGAUAGGCAGAAUAAACUUUUAAGCUAGAAUGUGAGAGAUGCAGAGGGAAUUCCCUGUGGAGCGGUGAAAUGCGUAGAUAUCGGGAGGAACACCAAAGGCGAAGGCACUCUGCUGGGCCAAUACUAACACUGAGGGACGAAAGCGAGGGGAGCAAAUGGGAUUAGAAACCCCGGUAGUCC
rnacentral:rRNA from 1 species